rnacentral:rRNA from 1 species
UGAUGGGUACCGGGCGUGAGAGCGUGGCCCGGCUCAAUGUGACUGACACACUGCCCUCACCUACGGCUGGCUGCAGUCAAAAAUCUUCAGGAAUGGACGCAAGUCUCACCGAUCGCCCGCAUGAGGAAUGAAUGCCUUCUGGUUGCAGACCGCUUGCGGAAGGGAUGAAAUGCGAGGGUUAUCCCUCUUGUUUGACAGAUCCUCACAGGAAGUACGGGCUAACUUCGUGCCCAGCCGCGGUAAGACGAACCGUACAAACGUUAUUCGGAAUUACUGGGCUUACAGGGUGUAGGCCGUGUGGAAAGUUGGGUGUGAAAUCCCUCGGCUCAACCGAAGAACUGCGCUCAACUGCCAUGCUACAGGGAGACAGAUGUGAGCGGAACUUAUGGUGGAGCGGUGAAAUGCUGAUAUCUUAAGGAACACCGGUGGCAAACGCGGCUCACUGGGUCUCUUCUGACGCUGACACGAUAGCUAGGGUAGCGAACGGGAUUAGAUACCCCGGUAGUCCUAGCUGUAAACGAAGCACUUGGUCGGAGAGCCUUCCAUAGCUUUCCGGCCGUAGCGAAAGUGUUAAGUGCUGUCUGGGGAGUAUGGUCGCAAGGCUGAAAGUCAAAGGAAUCGACGGUGGCUCUCACAAGGUGGAGGAUGUCGCUUCAUUCGAGGGUGCGCGAAGAACAUUAUGCUGGUCUUGACAGCUGGAUUAAGUCUGUGCAAGCAGAUCCUCGCCUUCGGGUGGAACAUGCACAGUUGGGGUGUCUGUGGUCAGCUAGUGUCGUGAGAAGUUGGGUUAAGUCCAUGAUCGAGUGAAUCCUGUCACUAGCAGCCAGCGAGUCAUGUCGGGGACUUCAGUGAGACUUCCCGUGUCUAUCGAGGAAGGUGGGGAAGACGUCAAGUCCUCCUGGCCUUUAUGAUCAGGGCUGCACACCUUACAAAGGCAGGUACCAAGGGACGGGAACUCGGGAGAGUAAGCAAAUCCCACAAAGCGCCCCAGUUCGGAUUGCAGUCUGCAACUCGCCUGCAUGAAGCCGGAAUCGCUAGUAAUCGGGUCAGCAUUCCGCGGUGAAUACGUUCCUGAGCCUUG